GGAACGUGCCCUUCACUGCGGAAUAGCCACUGGAAACGGUGAGUAAUACCGCAUACGCCCUUCGGGGGAAAGAUUUAUCGGUGAAGGAUCGGCCCGCGUUAGAUUAGAUAGUUGGUGGGGUAACGGCCUACCAAGUCUACGAUCUAUAGCUGGUUUUAGAGGAUGAUCAGCAACACUGGGACUGAGACACGGCCCAGACUCCUACGGGAGGCAGCAGUGGGGAAUAUUGGACAAUGGGCGAAAGCCUGAUCCAGCAAUGCCGCGUGAGUGAUGAAGGCCUUAGGGUUGUAAAGCUCUUUCGCACGCGACGAUAAUGACGGUAGCGUGAGAAGAAGCCCCGGCUAACUUCGUGCCAGCAGCCGCGGUAAUACGAAGGGGGCUAGCGUUGUUCGGAAUCACUGGGCGUAAAGGGUGCGUAGGCGGGAUCUUAAGUCAGGGGUGAAAUCCCGAGGCUCAACCUCGGAACUGCCUUUGAUACUGGGGUCCUUGAGUCCGGAAGAGGUGAGUGGAACUGCGAGUGUAGAGGUGAAAUUCGUAGAUAUUCGCAAGAACACCGGUGGCGAAGGCGGCUCACUGGUCCGGAACUGACGCUGAGGCACGACAGCGUGGGGAGCAAACAGGAUUAGUUACCCUGGUAGUCCACGCC
rnacentral:rRNA from 1 species